rnacentral:rRNA from 1 species
UACGUAGGUGGCAAGCGUUGUCCGGAUUUAUUGGGUUUAAAGGGUGCGUAGGCGGUCUAUUAAGUCAGUGCUGAAAUAUCCCGGCUUAACCGGGAGGGUGGCAUUGAUACUGAUGGACUUGAGUGCAGUCGAGGUAGGCGGAAUUGACGGUGUAGCGGUGAAAUGCUUAGAUAUCGUCAAGAACACCGAUAGUGAAGACAGCUUACUAGACUGUAACUGACGCUGAGACGCGAAAGCGUGGGGAGCAAACAGG